rnacentral:rRNA from 1 species
UACGAAGGGGGCUAGCGUUGCUCGGAAUUACUGGGCGUAAAGCGCACGUAGGCGGUCUUUAAGUCAGGGGUGAAAUCCUGGAGCUCAACUCCAGAACUGCCUUUGAUACUGAGGAUCUUGAGUUCGGGAGAGGUGAGUGGAACUGCGAGUGUAGAGGUGAAAUUCGUAGAUAUUCGCAAGAACACCAGUGGCGAAGGCGG